GAUGAACGCUGGCGGCGUGCUUAACACAUGCAAGUCGAACGGUGAACGAAGGAGCUUGCUCCUUCCGGAUCAGUGGCGAACGGGUGAGUAACACGUGAGCAAUCUGCCCCGAACUCUGGGAUAAGCGCUGGAAACGGCGUCUAAUACCGGAUACGACGCGCGAAGGCAUCUUCUGCGCGUGGAAAGAAUUUCGGUUCGGGAUGAGCUCGCGGCCUAUCAGCUAGUUGGCGAGGUAACGGCUCACCAAGGCGACGACGGGUAGCCGGCCUGAGAGGGUGACCGGCCACACUGGGACUGAGACACGGCCCAGACUCCUACGGGAGGCAGCAGUGGGGAAUUUUGGACAAUGGGGGCAACCCUGAUCCAGCCAUUCCGCGUGAGUGAAGAAGGCCUUCGGGUUGUAAAGCUCUUUUGUCCGGGAAGAAACGGUUUCACCUAAUACGUGAGACUACUGACGGUACCGGAAGAAUAAGGACCGGCUAACUAC
rnacentral:rRNA from 1 species